rnacentral:rRNA from 1 species
GUGUCAGCAGCCGCGGUAAUACGAAGGGGGCUAGCGUUGCUCGGAAUCACUGGGCGUAAAGGGCGCGUAGGCGGAAUGGCAAGUCGGUCGUGAAAUCCUUCGGCUCAACCGAAGAACGUCGAUCGAAACUGCCGUUCUUGAGGAUUGCGGAGGAGACUGGAAUUCCCGGUGUAGCGGUGAAAUGUGUAGAGAUCGGGAGGAACACCGGUGGCGAAGGCGGGUCUCUGGGCAAUUCCUGACGCUGAGGCGCGAAAGCGUGGGGAGCAAACGGGAUUAGAUACCCCGGUAGUCCACGCCGUAAACGAUGCGGACUAGGUGUCGGGGGUAUCGACCCCCUCGGCGCCGCAGCUAACGCAUUAAGUCCGCCGCCUGGGGACUACGGCCGCAAGGCUAAAACUCAAAUGAAUUGACGG